rnacentral:lncRNA from 1 species
UAGAGGGGUGCACAGGGAGUGGCACGGCAAAGGGAAUUGCCCCUCAGGAGCAGAGGGUUAUGUCAGAGGGGAGGCACGAACCAGGUCGCAUAGCACUUUCUAGGACGUAAUGAGUGUGGAUUCUAUGUUGCCAUGGGAAGCCAGCAUCCUUGCACGAGGUGGUUAAGUGCUGAGAGAAGAUAAAUCAGAUUAAGGGGCUAGAGACAGACUGGAAGCCUGGGGAAGCUAUUUGAAACAAAUGGGCAGAGGAGCUCUCUCUGAGGAAGUGACUUUAGGGCUGAGUCUUGAAAUAUCUGAAGUAGCGACCAUGCAGAUUUCUGGGAUAAGCCAGUUCCAGGCAGAAAAAAUAGCACUGAAGUGGGAAUAAGCAUCACAUAUCCUGGAAAGAGCAAGAAGGUCAGCGUGGCCAGGGCACAAUACCAGAGGAAGCAGGGGGAGGAGGCCAGCCCUGUGGAGGCCGUGGGACGGUACUUGGCUUUUAUUCUAAAUACACUGGGAAGAUUUUCGAGGACUGUAAGUAGAAAUGACAUGCUUGCUUGUUUUUCGAGGGAACUGGCUGAAAACCCAGUAGAUUUUGGUGGCUGUUCUUGACUAAGAAGAGUGUGGAACAAAGUCACAGAGCCACGGCCCCAGACAAGACCUGGAUGAAGCGCUACAGCCUGGUAGUGCCAAGACUGGGAGGGAAAGAGAAGAGCGCUAUGAGACAGAAUCCAGAAGCAAGGAGAGGAAGGAAAGGCCUUGGACCCCCUAAGGAGAAGGAGG